CGCAAAUAAAUAAACAAACACACACAAACAAACAACUCAAACAAAAUGACUGGGUUUACCAACUCUGGAUUUGAAAACGAUGAACCUGUGAAGCCAAAACCAGGUUUCGAACCGGACACAGCAUCGCUGAGAGAGAAAGUUAUAUUGAAUCCUGCUGAAAAAUGGCGUAUAUUGAAAAAUAUUGGCAUUAUAUCGUUAGCCUUUAUGGUGCAAUUUACAGCGUUUCAGGGUACAGCUAACUUACAGUCAUCGAUAAAUGCCACCGAUGGUCUC